rnacentral:rRNA from 1 species
AUUGAACGCUGGCGGCAGGCCUAACACAUGCAAGUCGAACGAGUGGCGGACGGGUGAGUAAUGUCUGGGAAACUGCCCGAUGGAGGGGGAUAACUACUGGAAACGGUAGCUAAUACCGCAUACCAUCGGAUGUGCCAAGAUGGGAUUAGCUGGUCGGUGGGGGAACGGCUCACCUAGGCGACGCUCCCUAGCUGGUCUAAGAGGAUGACAAGCCACACUGGAACUCAGACACGGUCCAGACUCCUACGGGAGGAAGUAGUGGGGAAUAUUGCACAAUGGGCGCAAGCCUGAUGCAGCCAUGCCGCGUGUAUGAAGAAGGCCUUCGGGUUGUAAAGUACUUUCAGCGAGGAGUCGUUACUCGCAGAAGAAGCACCGGCUAACUCCGUGCCAGCAGCCGCGGUAAUUC